UAAGAAAGCAUUGUGAAGUCACAGUGUUGCCAUGUUGACAGUUGUCUUGAAGGCACAUACACACUGAUUAUAGUACUGUCUGUGGCUUUGCUUAGGAUAUGUCACUUCUCCCAAUCUUUCCUAGAGUUAAAAGCCAUUAAAUGUUUUGUUUCUUGAGAAAGUUAAACAAAGAAACAGAGAUGAGGUGCCAUUCUUUUAUCCUGACAGUAUCAUCUACUUCCCAAGCCAAGAAAAACAAAAUAACUUUGAGAAGGGAUAUAGGAAACAACAUAGCUCAAACAAAGUCUGAUUAGCAAUUAAUGCUGAACCCUAUUUAAUUGUAAACCAGCUCAAAGUAGGGUGAAGUUUUUUUUCAAAUGGGUGAGUCAAUAUUUCAGGCACAGCUGCAAGUUCGGCCCUUUUCUAUUGAUACAGCCCUUCAUGGUACUUUUUAAUCACCUGUACAUCAUUUUUACAUAGCGGUCUGACCAGAUUAGUCCUUUUAGUCAAUUCCAAGAUCUCUGAGCUAGUUUUAAUACCCAACUUUACAGCAACCUAAACAAUCUUCACUUGAGAUGCAGCUUAGCCAUGGACACAACAACCUAAGCAAAAUCAGUGAUUCUGCGUCAAUGUCUAUUUUGAACCCACUGAAGUUUCUGAACUUCAUGUAUGCUUCCUUCCAAGAAGAAAAUGAACUUGCUGCUCCCCAAAUUCAGUAACAUUUCUUGAAGAAAAUGGAGAGGUUACCUCUGGCAACUGGGAUUGCAGGCUGGCCUUCUCUGCCAAAGCAUCAUCAAUUGACUCUAAGAAGCUCCGUUCCACCACGUCAAAAGCCUGAAAGUCACCAGGAGAAAGUCAGUACAAAAUAUAUUAGAAUAGACUUUGCAUUAAAAUGUAUGUAUUUUAUAUAAAAAA